rnacentral:tRNA from 1 species
CAAAAUAUAGCUUAAAUUAAAGCAUUCAGCUUACACCUGAAAAAUGUCCCCUAAACAAGACUAUUCUGA